rnacentral:rRNA from 1 species
AUUGAACGCUGGCGGCAUGCCUUACACAUGCAAGUCGAACGGUAACGGGUUAAGCCGACGAGUGGCGAACGGGUGAGUAAUAUAUCGGAACGUGCCCAGUCGUGGGGGAUAACGUAGAGAAAUUUACGCUAAUACCGCAUACGAUCUAAGGAUGAAAGCGGGGGAUCGCAAGACCUCGCGCGAUUGGAGCGGCUGAUAUCAGAUUAGCUUGUUGGUAAGGUAAGAGCUUACCAAGGCGACGAUCAGUAUCUGGUUUGAGAGGACGAUCAGACACACUGGAACUGAGACACGGUCCAGACUCCUACGGGAGGCAGCAGUGGGGAAUUUUGGACAAUGGGCGAAAGCCUGAUCCAGCCAUUCCGCGUGCAGGAUGAAGGCCCUCGGGUUGUAAACUGCUUUUGUACAGAACGAAAAGGUUUCUAUUAAUACUAGGAGCUCAUGACGGUACUGUAAGAAUAAGCACCGGCUAACUACGUG